GAGGUUGUGGCUCAGUGGUAGAGCGCUAACCUAGCACGUUCAAGGCCCUGGGUUCAAUCCUCAGCACCACA
rnacentral:tRNA from 1 species